rnacentral:rRNA from 1 species
GGGCUAAUGCCGGAUAACAUGUUGAACCGCAUGGUUCUACAGUGAAAGACGGUCUUGCUGUCACUUAUAGAUGGACCCGCGCCGUAUUAGCUAGUUGGUGGGGUAACGGCCUACCAAGGCGACGAUACGUAGCCGACCUGAGAGGGUGAUCGGCCACACUGGAACUGAGACACGGUCCAGACUCCUACGGGAGGCAGCAGUAGGGAAUCUUCCGCAAUGGGCGAAAGCCUGACGGAGCAACGCCGCGUGAGUGAUGAAGGUCUUCGGAUCGUAAAGCUCUGUUGUUAGGGAAGAACAAAUGUGUAAGUAACUGUGCACAUCUUGACGGUACCUAACCAGAAAGCCACGGCUAACUACGUGCCAGCAGCCGCGGUAAUACGUAGGUGGCAAGCGUUAUCCGGAAUUAUUGGGCGUAAAGCGCGCGUAGGCGGUUUUUUAAGUCUGAUGUGAAAGCCCACGGCUCAACCGUGGAGGGUCAUUGGAAACUGGAAAACUUGAGUGCAGAAGAGGAAAGUGGAAUUCCAUGUGUAGCGGUGAAAUGCGCAGAGAUAUGGAGGAACACCAGUGGCGAAGGCGGCUUUCUGGUCUGCAACUGACGCUGAUGUGCGAAAGCGUGGGGAUCAAACAGGAUUAGAUACCCUGGUAGUCCACGCCGUAAACGAUGAGUGCUAAGUGUUAGGGGGUUUCCGCCCCUUAGUGCUGCAGCUAACGCAUUAAGCACUCCGCCUGGGGAGUACGGUCGCAAGACUGAAACUCAAAGGAAUUGACGGGGACCCGCACAAGCGGUGGAGCAUGUGGUUUAAUUCGAAGCAACGCGAAGAACCUUACCAAAUCUUGACAUCCUUUGACCGCUCUAGAGAUAGAGUUUUCCUCUUCGGAGGACAAAGUGACAGGUGGUGCAUGGUUGUCGUCAGCUCGUGUCGUGAGAUGUUGGGUUAAGUCCCGCAACGAGCGCAACCCUUGAACUUAGUUGCCAUCAUUCAGUUGGGCACUCUAAGUUGACUGCCGGUGACAAACCGGAGGAAGGUGGGGAUGACGUCAAAUCAUCAUGCCCCUUAUGAUUUGGGCUACACACGUGCUACAAUGGACAAUACAAAGGGCAGCGAAACCGCGAGGUCAAGCAAAUCCCAUAAAGUUGUUCUCAGUUCGGAUUGUAGUCUGCAACUCGACUACAUGAAGCUGGAAUCGCUAGUAAUCGUAGAUCAGCAUGCUACGGUGAAUACGUUCCCGGGUCUUGUACACACCGCCCGUCACACCACGAGAGUUUGUAACACCCGAAGCCGGUGGAGUAACCAUUUUGGAGCUAGCCGUCGAAGGUGGGACAAAUGAUUGGGGUGAAGUCGUAACAAGGUAGCCGUAUCGGAAGGUGCGGCUGGAUCACCUCCUUUCUA